rnacentral:lncRNA from 1 species
GCAUUGCUAGAUGAUUAGUGUGCAUGGCAUAGCCUGUGGGGCUGUAGCUAAUUCCCAUUGUGAGGAAUUGGUGAGUGAAUCGUUGUGAAUUGUUGUUGAUGUUUGCAUGCUAGAUGAUUAGCUUGCAUAGUCUAGCCUUUGGGGCUGUAGCUAAUUCCCAUGGUGAGGAAUUAGUGAGUGAGUCAUUAGGUCUCAAUGAGUGGGACUAGUGAGCUUAGUAGCCGUAUCCGGAGGGAUCGGUGAGCUUGAACUAUAUGUUCAAGGAUAGUCGGUACCGCAUGUGUAGAGUCUCAUUGCAUAAAAAUAUGUAAGGCGUAU